AAAAAAAUAACCCUGCAUUUCUGCAGGGUCCUUCCAUUGCCGUCUAAACGGUUUAGAAGGCAAAAGGGAGAGGAGAAACCGGAGGAAGAACUUAAGGGGAAUGUAAGUCUUCUCCGCGG
rfam:Virgibacillus soli strain PL205 scaffold000026, whole genome shotgun sequence.